rnacentral:rRNA from 1 species
UACGUAGGGUGCGAGCGUUGUCCGGAAUUAUUGGGCGUAAAGGGCUCGUAGGCGGUUUGUCGCGUCGGGAGUGAAAACACCGGGCUUAACUCGGUGCUGGCUUUCGAUACGGGCAGACUAGAGGUAUUCAGGGGAGAACGGAAUUCCUGGUGUAGCGGUGAAAUGCGCAGAUAUCAGGAGGAACACCGGUGGCGAAGGCGGUUCUCUGGGAAUAUCCUGACGCUGAGGAGCGAAAGUGUGGGGAGCGAACAGG